rnacentral:rRNA from 1 species
UACGUAGGUGGCAAGCGUUCUCCGGAAUUAUUGGGCGUAAAGCGCGCGCAGGUGGUUUCUUAAGUCUGAUGUGAAAGCCCCCGGCUCAACUGGGGAGGGUCAUUCGAUACUGUCGGACUCGAAGGCAGGAGAGGGAAGCGGAAUUCCCGGUGUAGUGGUGAAAUGCGUAGAUAUCGGGAGGAACACCAGUGGCGAAGGCGGCUUCCUGGCCUGUUCUUGACGCUGAGGCGCGAAAGCUAGGGGAGCAAACGGG